CUGGAAAAGACGAUGAUGCUUUAUUUCCAAGCACAUAUCCGAGUUAUAUGUGUGGACGACACUAAGACUAAGUCUUUUCUGC
rnacentral:snoRNA from 1 species